AGUCGAGCGCAGGAAGCUCACGGAACUCUUCGGAGGGAAGUGAAGGGAAUGAGCGGCGGACGGGUGAGUAACACGUAAGGAACCUGCCCCAAGGAUUGGGAUAACUCCGAGAAAUCGGAGCUAAUACCGAAUAGUUCUUCAGACCGCAUGGUCUGAUGAUGAAAGGCGCUCCGGCGUCACCUUGGGAUGGCCUUGCGGUGCAUUAGCUAGUUGGUGGGGUAAUGGCCCACCAAGGCGACGAUGCAUAGCCGACCUGAGAGGGUGAUCGGCCACACUGGGACUGAGACACGGCCCAGACUCCUACGGGAGGCAGCAGUAGGGAAUCUUCCACAAUGGACGAAAGUCUGAUGGAGCAACGCCGCGUGAGUGAUGAAGGUUUUCGGAUCGUAAAACUCUGUUGUAAGGGAAGAACAAGUACGAGAGGUAAUGCUCGUACCUUGACGGUACCUUGCGAGAAAGCCACGGCUAACUACGUGCCAGCAGCCGCGGUAAUACGUAGGUGGCAAGCGUUGUCCGGAAUUAUUGGGCGUAAAGCGCGCGCAGGCGGCCUUUUAAGUCUGAUGUGAAAGCCCCCGGCUCAACCGGGGAGGGUCAUUGGAAACUGGAAGGCUUGAGUACAGAAGAGAAGAGUGGAAUUCCAUGUGUAGCGGUGAAAUGCGUAGAGAUGUGGAGGAACACCAGUGGCGAAGGCGACUCUUUGGUCUGUAACUGACGCUGAGGCGCGAAAGCGUGGGGAGCAAACAGGAUUAGAUACCCUGGUAGUCCACGCCGUAAACGAUGAGUGCUAGGUGUUGGGGGGGUUUCCGCCCCUCAGUGCUGAAGCUAACGCAUUAAGCACUCCGCCUGGGGAGUACGGCCGCGAGACUGCCGGUGACAAACCGGAGGAAGGUGGGGAUGACGUCAAAUCAUCAUGCCCCUUAUGAGUUGGGCUACACACGUGCUACAAUGGACGGUACAAAGGGCAGCGAGACCGCGAGGUGGAGCCAAUCCCAGAAAGCCGUUCCCAGUUCGGAUUGCAGGCUGCAACUCGCCUGCAUGAAGUCGGAAUCGCUAGUAAUCGCAGGUCAGCAUACUGCGGUGAAUACGUUCCCGGGUCUUGUACACACCGCCCGUCACACCACGAGAGUUUGCAACACCCGAAGCCGGUGAGGUAACCGCAAGGAGCCAGCCGUCGAAGGUGGGGUAGAUGAUUGGGGUGAAGUCGUAACAA
rnacentral:rRNA from 1 species